AAAUCCCUUGGCCAAUAGCUGUUCAGGCCCUCCCUCAACACAUGAACUCCGUUUUAUUCUAUAUCCUUCACAACACUGGGAGUGGGAACAAACUUCAUACGCUGAAGAAAAGAUGCUGUUUCUUCUUCAGGAGAAAUGUAACGACAGCAGAGACAGAUAGCAGCUUGCUGUGGACAUGUUUUUAUUGUCGCUGUGUGUCGUGGACGCGCUCUCUGAGAAUUUUAUCUUUUGGCAGUACACAUGUGAAAAUGAAAGAAAACGUUAUGGGUGGUUGAACGGAUGGUUUAAACCACUGUUGUCAUGGUGAUUCAUUGCAGAUGAAGCCUUUUGUGAGAUGAUCAGAAUGAAGUCCACACGGAACUUCAUCAUUUUCCUGUGUCCCACGCUGGUGCUGUUUUUUCUCUACUAUUCUUCUGGAAGACUACACCUGAGAACUUCAGUCCAAAAGUCUCAACCUGAUUUGGAUUCAUUACUUUCCACGGGACGUGUAUUAGCUUCAGAGUACGACAAGCAGGGAUUCCUUACGAAGCUUGACGGAAAACUACCCCUGGAGCUCCAGUAUAAAUAUGCUAAUCUCAGUAAAGGCGAGUGUAAACCAGGUUACGCACAGGCCAAGAUGACCUCAAUUUAUCCAAAGUUUUCGAAACCAGCCCCCAUGUUCCUCGAUUCAAAUUUUAAGCGGCUGUCAAAGAUCAGCAAUUAUCCACCUCCCUUCGGGGUAAAAACACAAGAAAAGAUCAUUGAUAUUAUUUUGGCAACUACGAAGAGCUAUUCUCUGGGUCCAGAACUGGACAGUUUGAGUUGUAUGAAGUGUAUUAUUAUUGGUAACGGAGGAAUUCUUUUCAAUAAGUCCCUGGGCUCCAAAAUCGAUGAAUAUGAUGUUGUUAUACGACUAAAUGAGGGUCCAGUCAGGGGGUUCGAGAAAGAUGUGGGCUCUAAGACGACAAUGCGUAUCACCUACCCUGAAGGAGCCAUCCAGAAACCUGAGCGUUACGAGAAGGACUCGCUUUUCGUCUUCUCCGCCUUCAAAGCAGUGGACUUUAAAUGGCUCCGUCAAAUUGUGGUUAAGGAGAAGCUGCGUAGAAUGGAGGGAUUCUGGAAGUCUGUGGCACGUGUCGUUCCCAGAGAAGCCGAGCAUAUGCGCAUCCUAAACCCGUAUUUCAUCCAAGAAGCAGCUUUCAAAUUCAUCGGCCUUCCGCACAACAACGGCCUCAUGGGACGAGGGAAUAUUCCUACGUUGGGGACCGUUGCGAUCACGAUGGCCCUUCAUAGCUGUGAUGAGGUGGCUGUUGCUGGAUUUGGGUAUGACAUGAAUACACCCAGAGCUCCUCUACACUAUUAUGAGAAGCUCAUGAUGUCAGCAAUCAAAGAGUCAUGGACACAUAACAUAUCCAAAGAAAAGGAAUUUCUUCGGAAGCUGGUAAAGGGCGGAGUCAUUCGGGACCUAACCAAUGGAAUCUGACAUCCUCACCCGGCAGACUCCGCAGAGAUGUUUGAGCCAAUCACGUGAUACCGCUAGAAGAAAGCGACCUCACUGUAUAUGCUUACAGUAUCCAUGGCAACCACACCUCAGACUCUGUAGUGCUUUUUUUAAGUCGCAGGAGUGAACGAGUCCAUCCUCGCGGAGAGCAGCGACACAACGUCCAGUGUGAACUGCUGACCUGCUGCUUUCCCCUGUUUUUUACUCAACAGCAGAGACAUGAACUGUGUUUGUAUUUGUCCUCAGUAUUUAUUAGACAGGAUUUUAAUCCGUCAUUAAGAAGCUUUAUUUUUUAAGCCACGUGAACUUUGAUGCUUUAAUACUUUUGUCUUCGAUCUCAGGCUAUGCACAACAGCACCGAACAAAUGAUUGUCCCCCAUGACUUUCCGCUGUUCUUUCUGAACAAAUCUGUGCCGUUAACUGGAUCAACACACACUUUUCCUGCACUUCGCACAUGUAUAUCCCUGUCUGUGUGUUACCUGAGACCAGGUCUAUUAAAGUAUUAUUAUGACGAUAUGUACAGUCUUUAGUCCGAAGUUUUUCUAAUUUGAAUCGUAGAUUGACGCGUUCUAGCAAAAAACGUAUUGAUAUGCUUUAAUGGAGCUGUAAUGGGUGCCAUGUACAGUACGGCUGUCACGAUGCCAUAGUUUGUUUAUAUCAUUAGCAUCAUAUCAUUAGGGUUAAAACUGGUGCAAAGUUUUAAAAUAUUCAUUCAGGUAAAGAGUCAGCAAUAAAGUCAAGAAGAAAAUUACAAGCAAUCAUCAUUCUAAUGUCAAUGUCAUUGGGGAACAUCAGUGCUGCGAUCAAUGUUUCCUUUGUAAAUGACAUUUAAACUCUCACCUGAUCAACGCACCAUCUUCUCAAACAAACAGUCUGAUGUUUAUGUGUUGUGGAAGAAAACACUCUCUGGCUGCUCAUCUCAUGACUCACCACCGUGCGGAGGGGGUUUUCUGAAUCCUCGGGCCGAAAGGUUAAUGGGAAGUUUAAGGAAUUUUUCAAGGGUCUGUUUCAAAGGCUUGAGUGAGGCAGAUUUCCUGGAAAUCCUUCCGUUUAGUUUCCAAAACCAGUACCGCUGCUGUCUGUCUCUUGACAACCGUCCAGAGGACCUCAUUACACCAAUCCACCAUUUUUGUAAAUGUCUUCCGUGGACAGAUUUGCAGUAUAUAUGAACAUAUGAUGUGUAAUUAUAGUUGCAAUAUUCAUAUGUGGCAGCUUUGGGUCUACAGAAUGUUCUAUUGUUUCAGUGUUUUGAGAUCUACAGGAGCAUUUAGACCCGUAAAAUAUGCUGAGACUUGAAAUAAAAUUUGUGAGAGAUUUAGUAACAUCUUCAGAUGGAUCCACGUCUAUUUAAACGUUGUUUCAAGCUGUUAUGCUGGGUUCACACCAAACGUGAACAAUCGCGUUCCACACACUUUGUUACUCGUGGGAAAAGUUCGUUAUUUUCGCGUGAUCGACGCGAUCUGACAAAUAUUUUCAACCUUCGCGGAAGACUAGAUUGACGCGCCAAUCGCGCCACCCGAUUCGCGAGUCUAUACGCAUCUUUGCAUUGACUUUGUAUGUAAUUUACUCACGCAAAACGCUUAAUUCGCGUUUGGUGUGAACCCAGCAUUAGAGCUGUGGCUUAGCUAACUUUUCUGUCCUCUUUCAGCUUUUUCAAUUAACUUUUUGCAUGUAUAAUUUCUUUGGCUAUUUUCAAACUUUUCAAACAAAUCUAUUGAAAUUUUACCCAGACACAAGCCUUACAUCUAUAAAAUAUAAAAAUCCAUCAUAAAUACAUUUUGUGAAAAUAUUUGUUUUUAUAAAACGUAAAAUGCAAAUUUUUAUUUUAAAAAUGUUUAAAAUGUCAUUUCCGCCUCAGUAAGUAAUGUGAUGGGAAUCAUGUUCUUCUAACAAUCUGCCAUAUGACAAAAGGGUCCAAAUCUGCCAGUAGUGGAGGAAACACCCAUAUACAUGAGGAAAUGUUCCUUUUGCCUGAAUUAUGUGGGAGUGAAGCCUCCUCUACAGAGUAAAAGCGGCAAAGUAAUAUAAUCUGUUUUUUUAAGUUUUAAAUCCCAUCCUGAAAUGAUAUGUUGUGGUCCGUAUGAAUCAUACUGUUGUCAGAUGUUGCUGUUGUCGGAUGUAUUUCUAAUGAGUGAUUUAUAGCAUAAUAUAUGAAGACAUUUUUGGUAACGCUUUCACAGGGGGAAUGUCCUCAAUGUUCAAAACAAGUUCCAUCAAUAGUGUUAGUGAUACUCGCCCCUGAGUGUGUAAAAGCAAACAAAUGUUGCGUUUACAAUAAUCCACGUAAUCCAUAAUGAAACUCAAUGAGCAAAGACAUUCUGGAACGUUUUAAAGGAGGAAAAAUUAGUCAUAUUUAUGGUAAAGUGAUGCAUAAAUGAGUCAAAAAUUAUUUUCAUAAUGUGUAUUAUCCAAUUAUUAAUUUAGCAUGGUAAUUUCGUAAUGAUUUUUUAUUUUGUAUUAAUUGAAUAUCAAUUCCCUGUUAUGAAUUAAACCAACCAGCUGUUACGUGUGAAAUCCGGAAUGUAAAUCUUUUAAACACGAGCAUUAAAUUCGGUGUCCAGGGUCGCGGCUCUCAAACGCUGCGCUGCUUCUUGGCCUCGCUUUCAACCCUGUCUCGCUUCCCUCUGCGGUGCUACACCGAGCGCUAAAACGUUUAAUGAGCUCGGAGUGCAGUAAAUAGCAAACAGAUUUAGAAAGUAGUGUGAGAUCACAGACAGUUGAGCUAUGGACACAACAGGCAGGUGUCUCCUAUUUAAAGAUAAUCCUUGACCUGGUCAUACGCCACGCUUGAGUUAGAGCCAGUGUGUGCAGUGAGAGGAGAAGCGGCUUUUAGAUCUCAACAAGUGAAUAGACGAGUGGAAUUUGCUCUUGACAGGUGUUUUUCUCCAUGUAGGUGGGCCUUCGUGACACAGUUGGGAUGGAGGUCGUAUCCUGCCAGUUUCACACUCGCCGAGUGUUUUGAGCAGAGUUUGGUUACAUGAGGAUUUUUUACACGCUCCUGGCCGUCUCCACCGGCUUCGAAACCGUUGCCAAAGUCGGAAGUCCAGGACAAAUUAGUC